rnacentral:rRNA from 1 species
ACGGAAGGCAGCAGUGGGGGAUUUUGCACAAUGGGGGAAACCCUGAUGCAGCGACGCCGCGUGAGUGAAGAAGUAUUUCGAUAUGUAAAGCUCUAUCAGCAGGGAAGAAAAUGACGGUACCUGACUAAGAAGCCCCGGCUAACUAUGUGCCAGCAGCCGCGGUAGUACAUAGGGAGCAAGCGUUAUCCGGAUUUACUGGGUGUAAAGGGUGCGUAGGCGGCAUGGUAAGCCAGUCGUUAAAGACCUGAGCUUAACUCUGGACCAGCGAUUGAAACUAUCAAGCUAGAGUACAGGAGAGGUUAGUGGAAUUACUAGUGUAGAGGUGGAAUUCAUAGAUAUUAGUAAGAACACCAAUGGCGAAGGCAGCUUACUGGCCUGAAACUGACGCUGAGGCACGAAAGUGUGGGGAGCAAACAGGAUUAGAUACCCUGGUA